UACGUAGGGGGGCAAGCGUUGUCCGGAAUCAUUGGGCGUAAAGAGCGUGUAGGCGGCCCGGUAAGUCCGCUGUGAAAGUCCAGGGCUCAACCCUGGGAUGCCGGUGGAUACUGUCGGGCUCGAGUCCGGAAGAGGAGUGUGGAAUUCCUGGUGUAGCGGUGAAAUGCGUAGAUAUUGGGAGGAACACCGGUGGCGAAGGCGGCCCCCUGGACCGGUACUGACGCUGAGGCGCGAAAGCGUGGGUAGCAAACAGG
rnacentral:rRNA from 1 species